UACGUAGGGGGCAAGCGUUGUCCGGAUUUAUUGGGCGUAAAGAGCGUGUAGGCGGCCAGGUAGGUCCGUUGUGAAAACUGGAGGCUUAACCUCCAGCUGUCGAUGGAAACCAUCUGGCUAGAGUUCGGAAGAGGAGAGUGGAAUUCCUGGUGUAGCGGUGAAAUGCGCAGAUAUCAGGAAGAACACCCGUGGCGAAGGCGGCUCUCUGGGACGGUACUGACGCUGAGACGCGAAAGCGUGGGGAGCGAACAGG
rnacentral:rRNA from 1 species